GAUGAACGCUAGCGGCAGGCUUAACACAUGCGAGUCGAGGGGCAGCAUGAUUGUAGCAAUACAAUUGAUGGCGACCGGCAAACGGGUGCGGAACACGUACACAACCUUCCAACAAGUGGGGGAUAGCCCAGAGAAAUUUGGAUUAAUACCCCGUAACAUAGCGAUGUGGCAUCACAUUGCUAUUAUAGAUUUUUCGCUUGUUGAUGGGUGUGCGGCUGAUUAGAUAGUUGGCGGGGUAACGGCCCACCAAGUCUACGAUCAGUAGCUGAUGUGAGAGCAUGAUCAGCCACACGGGCACUGAGACACGGGCCCGACUCCUACGGGAGGCAGCAGUAAGGAAUAUUGGACAAUGGACGCAAGUCUGAUCCAGCCAUGCCGCGUGAAGGAUUAAGGUCCUCUGGAUUGUAAACUUCUUUUAUAAGGGACGAAAAAAGGCUUUUCUAAGUCGUCUGACGGUACCUUAUGAAUAAGCACCGGCUAACUCCGUGCCAGCAGCCGCGGUAACAC
rnacentral:rRNA from 1 species